rnacentral:rRNA from 1 species
UGACCUCGGAUCAGGUAGGGAUACCCGCUGAACUUAAGCAUAUAAAAAAGGGGAAAAAAAAA